rnacentral:rRNA from 1 species
GUGCCAGCAGCCGCGGUAAUACGUAGGGUGCAAGCGUUGUCCGGAAUUACUGGGUGUAAAGGGUCCGCAGGCGGGCAAGAAAGUCGGUGGUGAAAGCUCUCCGCUCAACGGAGAGACUGCCGUCGAUACUUCUUGUCUUGAGUUCGAGAGAGGAUGAUGGAAUUCAUGGUGUAGCGGUGAAAUGCGUAGAGAUCAUGAAGAACACCGGUAGCGAAGGCGGUCAUCUGGCUCGAUACUGACGCUCAGGGACGAAAGCGUGGGUAGCAAACAGGAUUAGAAACCCUGGUAGUCC